UAGACCAAAGAAAUUAGAUGUUUUCAAUCACGCAGUCAAUCAAAAAGUGAAGUCAAAGUUGUCAAACCUAAUCAGAUGAGCCAAAAAUAGACCACACAUUUAGCGAAUUUCACAAUGAAAGCAAAAUUCUGAUUUACCGUUGCAUAGAACCCGUUCCAUUUUUUGUCAUAUAUAAUAUGAGUAAACAAAUUAAUGUUCAAAGCAAAACAGAAAGAAGGAAAAAAUGCCAUUGGAACAAAGAGAGAAGAAAAAAUAUUUUUCAAACCUGGUGCCGCUCAACUGACUAGGUUUGACUUCUUUUUAUACCCUGAACCCAUUAAAAAUGGGUAUAAGGGUAUAUUGAAUUUGUGCAAAAUCCAAAUGUCUUUACCGACGCGGGUGACGGAUAGCCCGGAGGCCUUUGCCAAGGAUGCGUCGAUAAGACUUACCGGACAGCACGGGACUAAAAGGGCACUUUCGCAGCACGUGGACUCUUCGGCAUACUCGGCAUCGGAACGAUUCAGUUGCCGGUCGGCUCUUGGAUCGGCCUUGUUGUUGGCGUGGAGAUAUUGUGCUGUUACGUGAAGAAAAUUGAAAAAAAAACAUAAUAGACAUUACUUAUGCGGCCUUAUACGGAUGGUCCGCAGACCUAUGGAUCUAGGAUUCUAGUCUUUACUGGAGAUUCUACUGGAUGGAGAAUGGAGACUAGAUUCUAUCGGGAGCAGGAUCAGCUUAGAGAUAGGUCUUUUGGAGAUACCUCGGGCUGUUAACACGUCGACCACUCGGACUCUUUGGUCGUUGCCAGGAUAGGUCGUUUGGAUUCGACCUAGACGCCAGUCAUUAACGGGAAGAUUAUCUUCUAUAAUAAUGACUAGAUUGUCCCGUUAACUGUUGUUGCAAAGCCUUCAAGCGCUGCCAGCGGUUGAUGAUGGUCCCGGCGUUUUCCUUGAUUUCUGGCUCUGUGGCGGAAAGUAGAGGACCGCCGACUAAAAAAUGACCGGGAGUCAGAGCUAAGAGAUCAGUAGGAUCUUCCAACAUUGGAGAUAUCGGUCUUGAAUUCAGGCAUGCUUCAACUUUGGAUAGGAGCGUGGAAAGCUCUUCGAAGGUGUAUUUGGAGGUCGAUUUUUGAAACUCUUUAACCUGCCUACCACAGGCCACCCAUAUGCGGUGCACUAGGAGAGUUGAAGUGCUAGGACAGUUUCUGGAGACUGUAAGUGGCCUGGAGUUUAGUCUACAAAAUCGCGCGAGAGGACUUUGGCCGCUCCGACGAAGGUUUUGCCGCUGUCGGAAUGCAUAUGACUUGGGCACCCUCGUCGUGCCACAAAUCUCGCAAAUGCCGCUAGGAAUUUUUCUGUGAUCUUAUUAAACGCAUCAUGAGCAAGUUGCCUCCAUGCAAGGAUAUUAGAUGGGUGAAAGCGGUCAAGAGACGCGAGACGCGGCACAUGUCGCUCUUACACGAUCACAUGCUCGAAUAAUUCCCUUACCAUCUAGAAAGGGGUUCAAAUUAAGGAGUUUGCUGGAAGUGAGCUGUUUUUUCGUGCUCUAGCAAGUGUACUCUGACGAGUAUGCUUGUCUCUGGGUCAGGAGAAUGAGUCUUUCUUGUGCAUAAGAAAUCUCGUUGCUGUGAAUUGCAAUAGUUGACGGGAGCGACAAUCGUUUGCAACGCUUGAAGAAACGAUAGAUGUAUGCUAACACUGGCAGGGCUCGAUCGAAAUUGGAGAAGCGCUCGAGGAAAGAAAAUGAGGGAGCCGUGUUUGCGAGGUUUACUUCACUCGUACGUUGCUCUAUUGUCGUAUCUGGGAGGGGAUCUGAAGGAAUGGGCUAUAGGUUCUGAGGUAGUCCAGGCGCAUGGUGGCUUAUGAAGCCAAGCUAGCACAAUUAUGGAAUCUGUCCAAUAGAGCCAGUCGCCGCCAGCGGAAGGUAACUGGGGACUGAGUGCAGCUGUUAGCUCGGACAGAAGUGCGGCUCCGCACAGCUCUAGUCGUGGCAAGGAUACCGUCUUGACCUGGGCGACACUCGUUUUCGCUGUUAGGAGAUGUACUGAGAUGCGAUCUUAUAUCUCAGUGCGCACGUAAAUGGCGGCCCCAUAUGCACGCUGCGAAGCGCCACAAAACCCGUGGUAUUGAAUAGUCCCCUGUGGGCGGAAUUCGACCCAUCUAGGGAUGCGAAUCCCACUGAGGCCCGGAUACUCUUGCAGAAAUAAAUUCCACUUACUGAGAAGACUCUCAGGUAGCGGAUCGUCCCAGUCCAGUUCUUGGAGCCAGAUCUCCCGCAUGAAUAAUUUUGCCUGACUGGACCCAGCCAACCUGCUGGAUCGAACAGUUUGGCAAUCUGUGAAAGGACUUGACGUUUGGAGACGGACUGUUUGGUUGUUAGCUCGGAUGGAGCGAAAAAGAACUCAUCGGUGUCAGCUUUCCAUCUGAUUCCGAGAGUCUUUGCCGAACAGGCUUCUUCGAUCUCUAAGAAGUCGGAGCGAAGCAAGUGGUCCUUGGGAAUCGCUUUUAGCAAGUCCUUCUCAUUGGAUGUCCAUUUUCGCAAGGGGAACCCGGCAGAUUCAAGGGCUUUGCGGAGUUCUGCAAUUGCUUGAUCUGCCGUUGAUUUGGAAUGGGCUCCCGCUAGUACAUCGUCGACAUACAUAUUGUUUGCGAUAAUGUGACUUGCUAAGGGAUAGAGCGAACGAACGUCAUCAGAUAACGGAUGUAGUACCCAGAUUGCCAAAAGGGCGCACAGUUAACUCCAAACGUGACUGUGCUGAGUUCGAAGUCACGAAGCUCGUUGUCCUUUGUUCGGAACAGAAUUCUCUGAUAGGGUGUGCGUUUGGGAUGCACAAGUAUCUGCCGAUACAUUUUCGUGAUAUCGGCAUUGAAGACAUAUCGGAAGAAGCGCCAUCUUAGAAUUUGAAUGGUUAAGUCGGAUUGCAGAACGGGCCCUGCAUCUAGCACAUCGUUCAGACUGGUGCUGUCAGGCUUGUGAACAGCAUGGUGUGGUAGAAAAAAGUUAUCCAAACAAUUGCUUUGAAGGACUUGUCGCAUGUGACCUAAGUCCAGAUAUUCCUGGAUCACCGCAUCGUACUGCUCCUUAAGGGGGGCAUUUUUUGCCAGCUAGUGCGAUGGACCUUGAAUGGCCUAACUGGAUGUAAUCGGAAUUCUUGAAUGAAUCCAAGUAUCUGCCGUUUUUAUCUCUUUUAGUGUUCUUUUGGAAAUUGCGCUCACAAAAUAGGUCAGAUUCCUUUUCCAGCUUUACUGGAAUAUCCUCCACCUCCCAAAAUUUUGUGAGCAGUUUAUCCAAGCUCGCAUUUGGAUUCAGUGAGACUUGAGUCGAAAAGGAUGCGAUCGAUUUGGCACUGGUCUUAGAAACGGGGCCUGUUUCGUCGUUUCUUGACCAAGGAGAGUGCCACAUAUGUUGGGAUAGGAGCCACCUACAAAUAUGGAUGGGAGGAUAUCGGCGCCGAGAAGCACGUCUAUCUGUGAGCUCCUAUAGAAAGAAGGAUCGGCCAAGUGUUAUUUUGGAAGUUCUUCCAAAGCGGUUUGGGGGAUGGUGUAGGAGGGCAAAUUGCCUGCUAGCUUUGAAAGAACAUAAGCCGACGUUUCAAUAUAAGCCCUGGGCGGAGAGCCAAUAUUAAAAUAGCUAAGUUUUUCAGGUUAAGCCGAAAUAGCUUGUUUGAAACCGGAGACCUGUGCGUCGACGGGUUGAUAAGGAAGUUUAACCCUUUUGAACAAUCGCUCUGCAAUAAAGGUCGCUUCAGACCCAUAGUCGAUUAAUGCCCGAGCUGUAUACUU